UCUCCGUUGGUGAACCAGCGGAGGGAUCAUUACCGAGUUUACAACUCCCAAACCCCUGUGAACAUACCAUUUGUUGCCUCGGCGGUGCCUGCUUCGGCAGCCCGCCAGAGGACCCAAACCAUUGAUUUUAUACAGUAUCUUCUGAGUAAAUGAUUAAAUAAAUCAAAACUUUCAACAACGGAUCUCUUGGUUCUG
rnacentral:misc_RNA from 1 species